UGGGGAAUUUUGGACAAUGGGCGCAAGCCUGAUCCAGCCAUGCCGCGUGCGGGAAGAAGGCCUUCGGGUUGUAAACCGCUUUUGUCAGGGAAGAAAUCUUCUGAGUUAAUACCUCGGGAGGAUGACGGUACCUGAAGAAUAAGCACCGGCUAACUACGUGCCAGCAGCCGCGGUAAUACGUAGGGUGCAAGCGUUAAUCGGAAUUACUGGGCGUAAAGCGUGCGCAGGCGGUUUUGUAAGACAGAGGUGAAAUCCCCGGGCUCAACCUGGGAACUGCCUUUGUGACUGCAAGGCUUGAGUGCGGCAGAGGGGGGAUGGAAUUCCGCGUGUAGCAGUGAAAUGCGUAGAUAUGCGGAGGAACACCGAUGGCGAAGGCAAUCCCCUGGGCCUGCACUGACGCUCAUGCACGAAAGCGUGGGGAGCAAACAGGAUUAGAUACCCUGGUAGUCCACGCCCUAAACCGAUGUCAACUGGUUGUUGGGAAGGUUCCUUCUCAGUAACGUAGCUAACGCGUGAAGUUGACCGCCUGGGGGAGUACGGCCGCAAGGUUGAAACUU
rnacentral:rRNA from 1 species